rnacentral:rRNA from 1 species
CCCCUAGAUGUUCUGGGCCGCACGCGCGCUACACUGAACAGUUCAACAAGUCUUAACCUUGGCCGAUAGGUCUGGGUAAUCUUUGAACGCUGUUCGUGAUUGGGAUAGACCUUUGCAAUUAUGGGUCUUCAACGAGGAAUUCCUAGUAAACGCAAGUCAUCAGCUUGCAUUGAUUACGUCCCUGCCCUUUGUACACACCGCCCGUCGCACCUACCGAUCGAAGGUAAUGAUGAGCCCUCAGGAUUGUGGCCUCGUCGCGUCAGCGUCUUGGCUGCGAGAAUCUGUGCAAAUCCCUACCUUUAGAGGAAGGUGAANUCGUAACA